UACGUAGGGGGCAAGCGUUGUCCGGAAUCAUUGGGCGUAAAGAGCGUGUAGGCGGCCCGAUAAGUCCGCUGUGAAAGUCCAGGGCUCAACCCUGGGAUGCCGGUGGAUACUGUCGGGCUCGAGUCCGGAAGAGGAGUGUGGAAUUCCUGGUGUAGCGGUGAGAUGCGCAGAUAUCAGGAGGAACACCAAUGGCGAAGGCAGCACUCUGGGACGUGACUGACGCUGAGACGCGAAAGCGUGGGGAGCAAACAGG
rnacentral:rRNA from 1 species